rnacentral:tRNA from 1 species
GGAGGGAUGGCAGAGCGGUUGAAUGCACCGGUCUUGAAAACCGGCAUAGGUGAAUAGCCUAUCCAGGGUUCGAAUCCCUGUCCCUCCG